UACGUAGGCAGCAAGCGUUGUUCGGAGUUACUGGGCGUAAAGAGUGCGUAGGCGGUGCCCCAAGUCUGUUGUGAAAUCUCCCGGCUUAACUGGGAGGGUGCGGUGGAAACUGGGGGUGCUUGAGUGUGGGAGAGGUAAGCGGAAUUCCUGGUGUAGCGGUGAAAUGCGUAGAUAUCAGGGAGGAACACCGGUGGUGUAGACG
rnacentral:rRNA from 1 species